rnacentral:rRNA from 2 species
AACUUGAGAGUUUGAUCCUGGCUCAGAACGAACGCUGGCGGCAGGCUUAACACAUGCAAGUCGAGCGCCCCGCAAGGGGAGCGGCAGACGGGUGAGUAACGCGUGGGAAUCUACCCAUCUCUACG